AAACUCACCAGGUCCAGACAUAGUAAGGAUUGACAGAUUGAUGGCGCUUUCAUGAUUCUAUGGGUGGUGGUGCAUGGCCGUUCUUAGUUGGUGGAGUGAUUUGUCUGGUUAAUUCCGAUAACGAACGAGACCUUGACCUGCUAAAUAGACGGGUUGACAUUUUGUUGGCCCCUUAUGUCUUCUUAGAGGGACUAUCAUACGUCUAGUUGAUGGAAGUUCGAGGCAAUAACAGGUCUGUGAUGCCCUUAGAUGUUCUGGGCUGCACGCGCGCUACACUGACAGAGACAACGAGUGGGGUCCCUUGUCUGAGAAGACCGGGUAAACUUGUGAAACUCUGUCGUGCUGGGGAUAGAGCUUUGUAAUUUUUGCUCUUCAACGAGGAAUUCCUAGUAAGCGCAAGUCAUCAGCUUGCGUUGAUUACGUCCCUGCCCUUUGUACACACCGCCCGUCGCUACUACCGAUUGAAUGGCUUAGUGAGGACUUGGGACAGUACGACGGGGAGCCAGCAAUGGCACCCUGUUGGCUGGAUCUCUUACAAACUUGGUCAUUUAGAGGAAGUAAAA
rnacentral:rRNA from 1 species